AUUGAACGCUGGCGGCAGGCCUAACACAUGCAAGUCGAACGGUAACAGGAAGCAGCUUGCUGCUUCGCUGACGAGUGGCGGACGGGUGAGUAAUGUCUGGGAAACUGCCUGAUGGAGGGGGAUAACUACUGGAAACGGUAGCUAAUACCGCAUAACGUCGCAAGACCAAAGAGGGGACCUUAGGGCCUCUUGCCAUCGGAUGUGCCCAGAUGGGAUUAGCUAGUAGGUGGGGUAACGGCUCACCUAGGCGACGAUCCCUAGCUGGUCUGAGAGGAUGACCAGCCACACUGGAACUGAGACACGGUCCAGACUCCUACGGGAGGCAGCAGUGGGGAAUAUUGCACAAUGGGCGCAAACCUGAUGCAGCCAUGCCGCGUGUAUGAAGAAGGCCUUCGGGUUGUAAAGUACUUUCAGCGGGGAGGAAGGGAGUAAAGUUAAUACCUUUGCUCAUUGACGUUACCCGCAGAAGAAGCACCGGCUAACUCCGUG
rnacentral:rRNA from 1 species